rnacentral:rRNA from 1 species
GAUGAACGCUGACAGAAUGCUUAACACAUGCAAGUCUACUUGAACUUCGGUUUGGGUGGCGGACGGGUGAGUAACGCGUAAAGAACUUGCCUCACAGUUAGGGACAACAUUUGGAAACGAAUGCUAAUACCUGAUAUUAUGAUUUUAGGGCAUCCUAAGAUUAUGAAAGCUAUAUGUGCUGUGAGAGAGCUUUGCGUCCCAUUAGCUAGUUGGAGAGGUAACGGCUCACCAAGGCGAUGACGGGUAGCCGGCCUGAGAGGGUGAACGGCCACAAGGGGACUGAGACACGGCCCUUACUCCUACGGGAGGCAGCAGUGGGGAAUAUUGGACAAUGGACCAAAAGUCUGAUCCAGCAAUUCUGUGUGCACGAUGACGUUUUUCGGAAUGUAAAGUGCUUUCAGUUGGGAAGAAAAAAAUGACGGUACCAACAGAAGAAGUGACGGCUAAAUACGUGCCAGCAGCCGCGGUAAUACGUAUGUCACAAGCGUUAUCCGGAUUUAUUGGGCGUAAAGCGCGUCUAGGUGGUUAUGUUAGUCUGAUGUGAAAAUGCAGGGCUCAACUCUGUAUUGCGUUGGAAACUGCAUGACUAGAGUACUGGAGAGGUAAGCGGAACUACAAGUGUAGAGGUGAAAUUCGUAUAUUUUUGUAGGAAUGCCGAUGGGGGAAGCCAGCUUACUGGACAUAUACUGACGCUUAGCGCGAAAGCGUGGGUAGCAACAGGAUUAUAUACCCUAGUAGUCCUGGCUGAAUGCCCAUGGUAUUUAAGCUUGUCGAUGCCGCCGACACCGGGGGGGGCAAAAUAACACAAACUUUGUUCUUGUGUUGGUGUUUGUUUGGAUGGCUGUCUGUGUUGCUGCUGACGCUGUGGGUGUGCGGUGUUGGUAUGAGUGGUGUGGCAUGUGUGUGUGUGUGUUUUGAUGUUUGGUGUGUGUGUUGUGUGUGUUGUUGGGUGUAGUGUGU